CAAGUUCAAACUGAAGAGUUUGAUCAUGGCUCAGAUUGAACGCUGGCGGCAUGCCUAACACAUGCAAGUCGAACGGUAACGCGGGGGUAACCCUGGCGACGAGUGGCGGACGGGUGAGUAAUACAUAGGAAUCUGCCCAGUAGUGGGGAAUAACUUGGGGAAACUCAAGCUAACACCGCAUACGUCCUACGGGAGAAAACAGGGGAUCGUAAGACCUUGUGCUAUUGGAUGAGCCUAUGUCAGAUUAGCUAGUUGGUAGGGUAAUGGCCUACCAAGGCGACGAUCUGUAGCUGGUCUGAGAGGACGAUCAGCCACACUGGGACUGAGACACGGCCCAGACUCCUACGGGAGGCAGCAGUGGGGAAUAUUGGACAAUGGGGGAAACCCUGAUCCAGCAAUGCCGCGUGUGUGAAGAAGGCCUGCGGGUUGUAAAGCACUUUUAGUGGG
rnacentral:rRNA from 1 species